AUACGAAAGGUGCAAGCGUUGUUCGGAUUUACUGGGCGUAAAGAGAGUGUAGGUGGUUUAUUAAGUCGGAUGUGAAAUCCCGGGGCUCAACCUCGGAACUGCAUUCGAUACUGGUAGACUAGAGUUCGGGAGGGGUAAGCGGAAUUCCGUGUGUAGCAGUGAAAUGCGUAGAUAUACGGAGGAACACCUGAGGCGAAGGCGGCUUACUGGACCGAUACUGACACUGAGACUCGAAAGCGUGGGUAGCAAACAGGAUUAGAAACCCCGGUAGUCC
rnacentral:rRNA from 1 species